AGAACGAACGCUGGCGGCAUGCCUAAUACAUGCAAGUCGAACGAACUCUUCGGAGUUAGUGGCGCACGGGUGCGUAACGCGUGGGAAUCUGCCCCUUGGUUCGGAAUAACAGUUGGAAACGACUGCUAAUACCGGAUGAUGACGAAAGUCCAAAGAUUUAUCGCCAAGGGAUGAGCCCGCGUAGGAUUAGCUAGUUGGUGAGGUAAAGGCUCACCAAGGCAACGAUCCUUAGCUGGUCUGAGAGGAUGAUCAGCCACACUGGGACUGAGACACGGCCCAGACUCCGUACGGGAGCAGCAGUAGGGAAUAUUGGACAAUGGGACGAAAG
rnacentral:rRNA from 1 species